rnacentral:lncRNA from 1 species
AUAUGUUUACUAAUGAUUAUGGCAGCAUGAAUAUGAUACAUUAGUUAUUAUUUUAAUGUUGAAACAUAUCAGACAGAAAUACUUCCAUGUUCUCAAAUAAUUAGUACAAAAAAUGUUUAUCCUCAACAGGAGAUGCUGUAAUUUCAAUUUCUACGGGAAUGAUGGCAGAUUGAAACUUUAUCUGAGGAAGAAAACCAAGCUAAGCCUCAAAAGAGAAGAGUCGACUCCUUCCUUGGGUGGGGAAUCUUGCCCAAUAUGAGUAGUUCAUCACAUUUAAUGAUAUUAGGACGCUACCGGAUACAUAGAGUGGUAGCCACAUACGCCCCCCCUCCAGAUGAAGAAUCAUAAUAAUUAAUGAGGAGAGUUCUGCUCCUUACAUGAAGCAUAUCGCAAUUUCAUAAUUAUUUACAAACACAAAAGUAAUAGUCACACUAACAGUUAUCGUUUACACGCUCUUGAAAAAACUUAUCGUCCAAGAAACACAGUGAUAUGGAUCAAGUAUAAUGGAUGUUUUGGUAUUCCUCGGAGAUGAGGAAGAGCUGGUUCAUCUGGAACUAUUCAUGGAUUUAAUUGGUCAAUGGAGAUUAUUUCGACUCAGGAACCCCGUUGAAUGUUAACCUUUGAGAACAGGCUAACUGCAAACAAAAACGAAUUGAACAAAGUUCUAUGUUUUGAAGUAUGUAAUCGAAAAAACGUGAUGAAUGAUGCAGAGUUGGGUGAGGAAGUAAACAUGAGACAUGUGUAUUAAGGUCGACUAGAAUUAAAUUAUGAGACGUUGGAUAUUAUGAAGGUAGUUAAAUCAUCUCAUAAAUCAUACAGAAGUUAGAUUCGGCCAUUGGAACCGUUGUAAAAGGAAGGAUGAAGGAGUGGUCAUUUCAAACAUUGUAAACUGUAAUAAAUAUCUAU